GUGUCAGCAGCCGCGGUAAUACGGAGGAUCCAAGCGUUAUCCGGAUUUAUUGGGUUUAAAGGGUGCGUAGGCGGACCUUUAAGUCAGCGGUGAAAGUUCCCGGCUCAACCGGGGAAUUGCCGUUGAAACUAUUGGUCUUGAGUGUAGAUGAGGUGGGCGGAAUUCGUAGUGUAGCGGUGAAAUGCUUAGAUAUUACGAAGAACUCCAAUUGCGUAGGCAGCUCACUAGGCUACAACUGACGCUGAGGCACGAAGGUGCGGGGAUCAAACAGGAUUAGAAACCCUCGUAGUCC
rnacentral:rRNA from 1 species